ACUAUGUCUGUGGUUAUGAUAAUGCGUUGCGCUUGUGGUUUGUUGUGGCUGUCAAGGAGCACAAUUUGUACCAAUGAGUUGUUGUUGUCGCAAUGUCAGGACACAGGCAUGGCUGUGAUGGAGAUCAUAAUCACGACGAAACACCAGAAAUGGGAUUGCAGUAUAGCUUGUAUUCCAAAAUUGAUCUUGAAAAUCUAGAAUGCCUGAAUGAGAAAAGUGAGGGUUCCGGGAAAAACGUAUUUAAAGUAUGGGAAGAUCGAUUGAAUUUUGAAAAGUAUGUGGAGAGUGAUGUUGAUGAAGAACUGCUAUUUAAUGUUCCAUUCACAGGAAUUGUGAAGUUGAAAGGUGUUAUUGUCAUUGGUGGAGAAAUGGAUUCACACCCAUCAAAAAUGAAAUUGUAUAAAAAUCGACCACACAUGACAUUUGACGAUGUUAGCGCACCAGUGGAUCAGGAGUUUGACCUUCAUCCAGAUAAUACAGGAACAUUAGAAUAUUCCACAAAGGUAGUGAAGUUUUCUUCAGUCCAUCAUCUGACAUUGUAUUUUCCAAGAAACUUUGGAAGUGAAACAACCAAAAUAUAUUACAUUGGCUUGAGAGGAGAAUUUUCUGAAGCCCAUCGCCAUGGUGUUACGAUCUGUACAUAUGAAAGCAGUCCUAAUGUUGCUGACCACAAGACAAGUGCAUUUGAUUCUGUGAGCCAUGAAGUACAAUGAUAGGACCACUUCUCCUCUCUUUAUGCAGUGUGUUUACAGCUACACUGUUUGGAGACUGUCUCUUCCAUUUACAACCUGAGGAAGAUACGGCAUGGAAUGUUUCCAGGGACAUGACAUCUCUCCUCAUAUGAGCUGAAAGGUUCAGUAUAAACUUCCUGCAGAGUGAAUCUUGAUGAAUAUGAUGUCAAAACUGUGAACCAAAAUCAAAUAUUUAUUACUUGGAAUGGAAACAUCUGCUGCUGGCAAGUCUAUGGGCUCACUCCUCAUCGUCCACAGGAAGUCGACAUUGACAUUACGAAGAAGUCGAGCUGUGAAUAGUGCCUCUGUAUUCCUCCCAUCUGUUUGUGUUAAGGUGGCAAGAAGUGAUAUACUGCUUGGAAUUGAAGCUGCAAAUUUAAAAAUGUAAAUGGGAGGCUGAAUUGUUUUAUUAAAUUAGAGAGACAGUUUCAUAGCAAUGUGACAUAAUUUGACCCCUUGGUUGACUUGGUUAAUUGGUCACCAGUCCAUGACUGUGCAUCUCCUAAUAGUUCCAUUCUCUGUAGUGUAUGGCUGCAGAUGUUAUCAGUAUGUCAACUAAUAACAUAUGGAAUUUUAAUAUUCUUAUUAGUAUAUUAUAACUUGGAAAUGGUAUUAUUAACACUGAAACAUGUUUCUAAAACAUCUUGAAAUGUAUGUAAAUGUCAAUUUUAGAGUAAUAAGUGGUAGGCAUUUUUAGUGACAUAGUUUCAUUCAAAUGACAUUGAUGACUGAAAUUAUAUUUAGGCCAUACAUUCCUUGCUGUAAUGGAAGAAUUUCUUACCAUCAUCCAAAUGUAUGGUGGUUUUGUUUCGAGUUGUCUCCUUCUCAAUCCAACCUCGUUGUCUCAUGGCUUCACGGAUUGUUGGGAAUGUUCCUUGCACAGUGAAUGUCUUGUGCUCCUGUAGAGAGUUAAAAUAAGUGAAACACUGAUUAAAUGCUUUAGAAGCUUAACAUGCUGCAUAUAAAGUAAAGCAUUCUAUUAAAACCAGACUACACGGCACAACAGCCCAGAAGACUGCAAUCUUCCUAUUGAAUUGAUCAUUUAUUAUAUCCUUCUUAGACCCAGAUUAUUUUGUGAAUGCUUUGUUAUUUGUGGUCUUUGCUCACAGAGAUCACAUUUCAUGCAAUACAAUGGUAAACUACUGUUAUUCAUUGCAUAUCCAAAACCAGCAUUUUGGGAAGUAGAUGAGGUGACAACAGUUUUUGAUCUGAAUAACAAUAUGCGUUUCCAGAAUGUAUUCUUCUCUUAAUUUUUUCAUGACCCUCUUUUGUAUCAGUUAGCGUUGUUUUCAAAUGCUUAAAUUUUGAAACAUUAAUUACAUAUAGGUUUAGUAAAUAAAGACUUCAUUUAUCAUGUUAGAUUAA